GCAAGGUUAACCGAAUAGGGGAGCCGGAGGGAAACCGAGUCUUAACCGGGCGUUAAGUUGCAGGGUAUAGACCCGAAACCCGGUGAUCUAGCCAUGGGCAGGUUGAAGGUUGGGUAACACUAACUGGAGGACCGAACCGACUAAUGUUGAAAAAUUAGCGGAUGACCUGUGGCUGGGGGUGAAAGGCCAAUCAAACCGGGAGAUAGCUGGUUCUCCCCGAAAGCUAUUUAGGUAGCGCCUCGUGAAUUCAUCUCCGGGGGUAGAGCACUGUUUCGGCUAGGGGGCCAUCCCGGCUUACCAACCCGAUGCAAACUGCGAAUACCGGAGAAUGUUAUCACGGGAGACACACGGCGGGUGCUAACGUCCGUCGUGAAGAGGGAAACAACCCAGACCGCCAGCUAAGGUCCCAAAGUCAUGGUUAAGUGGGAAACGAUGUGGGAAGGCCCAGACAGCCAGGAUGUUGGCUUAGAAGCAGCCAUCAUUUAAAGAAAGCGUAAUAGCUCACUGGUCGAGUCGGCCUGCGCGGAAGAUGUAACGGGGCUAAACCAUGCACCGAAGCUGCGGCAGCGACGCUGAUGCGUUGUUGGGUAGGGGAGCGUUCUGUAAGCCUGCGAAGGUGUGUCGUGAGGC
rnacentral:rRNA from 1 species